rnacentral:lncRNA from 1 species
UUAUUUUCUGCCAUAAAGCAUAAAAGAAAAGAAAUUCGAAGAAAUCGAUAAUGGAAUUUGUUACGUGCGUUUGACCUUUAUAUUAAUUCUCGCCUUGACCGAGCUAUUUUUUAAACUGUUGUUUAUGUGAACUUGCAACCAAUCAAAAUCCUUCAUGAUGCUGAUCAACCAAUCAGAUUUCCCGUCCACCAGGUGGACGGGAAUCCCAUAGUUUAGAUAGGUUUUGUGUCAGGCCCUAUUCUGUGAUAGGGCCUGAACUUCAGG